AUUGCUUGCGUGCACCAUCCGACUUUUUCAGUUAUUUUAAGGGCUUUUUUUGCAAAUAGCCCCCUGAAUAAUUUUUAUUUUAAAAAUAGUCCUAUCAAAAUUAAAAUUGCAAAAAUGGCCCUGUCCAUGCCACGCAGGCGCCACGUCAGCGCCACGCGGGCAGGGCUGGAGUCAGGGUAUUAAGUUGAACACGGUGAAUCAUUCACCGUGUCUAAACACGGUGAAUGGUUCACCGUGUUUCUUACGUAUUUUUUGUAUAUUGAAAAGUGGAAUAAGGAGUAGGGAUGUCAAUAGGUAUGGAUAUCCGAAAUAUUAUCCGAAUCCAAAUUCGAAUAAAUUAUAUAUAUAUACGUAAUUUAUUUUUGNAGGGACGUGUAUGCAAAUAACCCUUUAAUUUAUUUAGUUACAUUUUUUUUUUACUUUAAUAUAUAUAUAUAUAUAUAUAUAUAUAUAAAUAUAAUUAAGCUAGAAUUAUACUUUUAAAAGUAUCAAUUCUUUGAUGUUUCUAGAUUUCUAACAUUUAGAUCUACUCCUUGAUUAUUAAUAGUCCUUGAAUUAAACAUUAUUCCACCUACCAUCACCUACCACCAUCAUCCCAACCUUAUAUCUCUCCAUUCAAUGGCUAAAAACUCAAAAACACCACCCUCUUACUGCGAGAGUAUUCUAGCUCAACUAUAUAUAUAUAUAUAUAUAUAUGCUACUAUACUAUCAAUAGUACCAAGCCCUUGGUACUAUUGAAUUUUCGGCUGUUGGAUGAAAGGAUGUGCGGUUAGGAUGAUAGUGAUCCCCGGUUAAAUUGAUAGUGGUCCCCUAGGGUUGAGUGGGUGGUUGGUUUAAUAGUAUAAUCUAACGGGUGGAAAUGAUCCAAGGGUAAAUCUAACGGUAGAAAAUUCAAUAGUACCAAAGGCUUGGUAUUGUCGAUAGUAUAGUAGCUGGACUCUAUAUAUAUGUUAGAAUUUGAUCUAAUUUAUAGUUAAACUCUAAUUAAAUUAAAUUAAAAUAAAUAUUUAAAUUCGUUAAAAAUAAAUUAAUUAAAAUUUAAAUAUUAAUUAAAUUAAGAUUCUAGUUGGACUAAAAUUUGAAUAACUUUUGAUGUAAGAUAUAAAUAUAGUAUAAAUAUAUUUUUUUUAGUGGUGAUACGUUUAGUCACAGCUUACAUGAUAUGACCAAGGUGUUCAUAAUUUUGAAAGCACCUAAUGCAUGGACGCAAGAAAAUAUGUGCAGUUUUUAUGGCCGUGGUCGGUGUACAGAUGAAAGAAAAACUUUUUGAAUUUAUGUAAGACGAGAGAGGAAAAGUAUUCUAAAUUUAUGUGAGAUGAGAGAGGGGGUUUGAUUUUUUUUCUUCUGUGGUUGUGCUUUAAGUUAUUACUAAGAAGACGACUUUACAGUAAAAAUUCGAUUUGGAGUUUUCGUUGCAAAAUUCUAGCAAUCAGUGUUGAAGCAAGUACCAAAAUCCCAACAAACGAUGCCGGAGCGAGAACCAAGUCAACAAUAGUCGAUAUUAAAGCGAAUUGCAAAUUCUCAACCAUAUUUUAAAAAAUGCUACAUGUAGAUUCUUUAUAAGGGUAUACAUUUUACACCCUUUAAAUCCAAACCAUACAUUUUUAUAAGAUAAGUGGAUUAAUAUGAUAGCAUUGUUAAUAUGAUCCAUGAAAAA
rnacentral:lncRNA from 1 species